GAAACAUACCCGCAAACAAAGAACAUGCCAGUACUGUGGUACAGAGCAUGAGUUCGACAACCGGAAGAAAUGUCCUGCAUUCGGUACACACUGCAAAGCAUGUGGAAAACUUAACCACUGGGAAAAAAUGUGCAGACAAGGAAAGUCUAA